rnacentral:rRNA from 1 species
GGACCCGCACAAGCGGUGGAGCAUGUGGUUUAAUUCGAUGCAACGCGAAAAACCUUACCUACACUUGACAUACUUGGAAUCUUUUGUAAUGAAAGAGUGCCUUUUGGAGCCAAGAUACAGGUGCUGCAUGGCUGUCGUCAGCUCGUGUCGUGAGAUGUUGGGUUAAGUCCCAUAACGAGCGCAACCCUUACCCUUAUUUGCCAGCGAUUCGGUCGGGAACUAUAAGGGGACUGCCGGUGAUAAACCGGAGGAAGGUGAGGACGACGUCAAGUCAUCAUGGCCCUUACGUGUAGGGCUACACACGUGCUACAAUGGGGAGUACAGAUAGACGCUAAAGCGCGAGCUGGUGCUAAUCUCAUAAAACUCUUCGUAGUCCGGAUUGCAGUCUGCAACUCGACUGCAUGAAGUCGGAAUCGCUAGUAAUCGCGAAUC